rnacentral:rRNA from 1 species
UACGAAGGUGGCAAGCGUUACUCGGAAUUACUAGGCGUAAAGGGCAGGUAGGUGGUUCAGUAAGUCUGUUGUGGAAGCUCCCGGCUUAACCGGGAGAGGCCAACGGAAACUACUGGACUUGAGUGUAGGAGAGGGUACUGGAAUUCCUGGUGUAGCGGUGGAAUGCGCAGAUAUCAGGAGGAACACCGGUGGCGAAGGCGGGUCUCUGGGCAGUAACUGACGCUGAGGAGCGAAAGCGUGGGGAGCGAACAGG